GUGAUGAGAAAGUGUUCUCUCUGAUCACUCAUUGCUUCUGGUUUUCCUUUGCAGGUAUGCAAGAUUUAUCACUGGGGGAUCGAGAAGAAGAACUGGAGCAACGACCUGCAGCACCGGGCAUGGGGAACCUGGGUCCAAACAUGUCUGAUCCUGAACCUCGGAUGAAGUCUAUGAAACAUGCAAGAAGGGAAAGGAUACAGAAGAACCUGCCUUACCACAAGAAAUUUAGUUCUAAUUACUGAUUGCUGGGCUGGGAGGGGUGCUGGAAUGGGAGGCACUGCUGGAAGGUGGAGGGGGAGGUGGGAGGUGAUUCGCGGUGGGCUGUUGGGUUGGCCACAGAGUUUCUGGAGCGGAAGGGGUCUCUGAACCCAAAGCCUGAGGAGAGAUCUGUGCUGUUAGGCACAGGAAAGGCCAGUUCAUGGCUCCCACCUCUACUCCCAUCCCCCUGUCCCAGUCCGUGCU